UACGAAGGGGGCUAGCGUUGCUCGGAAUCACUGGGCGUAAAGGGUGCGUAGGCGGGUCUUUAAGUCGGGGGUGAAAUCCCAGAGCUCAACUCUGGAACUGCCUUCGAUACUGGGAAUCUGGACCCAAGUAGAGGCGAGUGGAAUUGCGAGUGUAGAGGUGAAAUUCGUAGAUAUUCGCAGGAACACCAGUGGCGAAGGCGACUCGCUGGACUUGUGGUGACGCUGAGACGCGAAAGCGUGGGUAGCAAACAGG
rnacentral:rRNA from 1 species